UGAGGAAUAUUGGUCAAUGGGCGAGAGCCUGAACCAGCCAUGCCGCGUGCAGGAAGACGGCCCUAUGGGUUGUAAACUGCUUUUGUUUGGGAAUAAAAGGCGCUACGUGUAGUGCACUGAAGGUACCAGAUGAAUAAGCAUCGGCUAACUCCGUGCCAGCAGCCGCGGUAAUACGGAGGAUGCGAGCGUUAUCCGGAUUUAUUAGGUUUAAAGGGUGUGUAGGCGGAAGACUAAGUCAGUGGUGAAAUCCCUCAGCUUAACUGGGGAACUGCCAUAGAUACUGGUUUUCUUGAGUACAGUUGAAGUAGGCGGAAUGUGUAAUGUAGCGGUGAAAUGCUUAGAUAUUACACAGAACACCGAUUGCGAAGGCAGCUUGCUAAGCUGUUACUGACGCUGAUGCACGAAAGCGUGGGGAGCGAACAGG
rnacentral:rRNA from 1 species